rnacentral:rRNA from 1 species
CCGGUUGAUCCUGCCGGACCCGACUGCUAUUUGGGUGAGGAUAAGCCAUGCGAGUUGAAUGGGAUACCUAAAAAUCCCAUGGCAAACUGCUCAGUAACACAUGAUCAACUUACCCUAUAGAGGAAAAUAACCUCGGGAAACUGAGGAUAAUGUUCCAUAGUUGAAUCGGCUUGGAAAAGUUUUUCAAUAAAAGGGAUAAGAAAAAUGGUUCUUAUCUGCUAUAGGAUAGGAUCGUGCUCGAUUAUGGUUGUUGGUGAGGUAACGGCUCACCAAGCCGAUAAUCGAUAGGGGCCGUGAGAGCGGGAGCCCCGAGAUGGGUACUGAGACAACGACCCAGGCCUUACGAGGCGCAGCAGGCGCGAAACCUCCGCAAUACACGAAAGUGUGACGGGGUUACCCAAAGUGUUCUAUUUAGAACUGUGGUAGGUGAGUAAUGUCCCCUACUAGAAGGGAGAGGGCAAGGCUGGUGCCAGCCGCCGCGGUAAAACCAGCUCUUCAAGUGGUCGGGAUAAUUAUUGGGCUUAAAGUGUCCGUAGCCGGUUUAGUAAGUUCCUGGUAAAAUCGGGUAGCUUAACUAUCUAUAUGCUAGGAAUACUGCUAUACUAGAGGGCGGGAGAGGUCUGAGGUACUACAGGGGUAGGGGUGAAAUCUUAUAAUCCUUGUAGGACCACCAGUGGCGAAGGCGUCAGACUGGAACGCGCCUGACGGUGAGGGACGAAAGCCAGGGGAGCGAACCGGAUUAGAUACCCGGGUAGUCCUGGCCGUAAACGAUGCAUACUAGGUGAUGGCACGGCCAUGAGCCGUGUCAGUGCCGUAGGGAAACCAUUAAGUGUGCCGCCUGGGAAGUACGGUCGCAAGGCUAAAACUUAAAGGAAUUGGCGGGGGAGCACCACAAGGGGUGAAGCCUGCGGUUCAAUUGGAGUCAACGCCGGGA